UACGUAGGGUGCGAGCGUUGUCCGGAAUUAUUGGGCGUAAAGAGCUUGUAGGCGGUUUGUCGCGUCUGCUGUGAAAAUCCGGGGCUCAACCCCGGACUUGCAGUGGGUACGGGCAGACUAGAGUGUGGUAGGGGAGACUGGAAUUCCUGGUGUAGCGGUGAAAUGCGCAGAUAUCAGGAGGAACACCGAUGGCGAAGGCAGGUCUCUGGGCCACUACUGACGCUGAGAAGC
rnacentral:rRNA from 1 species